GUAAUAAUAGCUUAAAAAGAGCAUCGGUCUUGUAAGCCGAAAGUGAACUAAGAUGUUCUUAUUACU
rnacentral:tRNA from 1 species